AGAGCGUAGUCGAAAACCUAGAGUUCCGCUCCUUCCACAGACACCAAGAGACCAGGAGCUCCAGGGAGUCGAAGCUGUCGCAGAGGUGCUCAGGUAAGCAGGCCCUGGAGGACGGCCACCAGUCCUGGAACCAACUGCCACGGGGUGAAGAGAGGGCAGACCAGCCAGAAGGCGGCAACACUCGGAGCCAGACCUGCCGAGCAACGAGGAGGAUGUGGUUCGCCGUCUCAAGAUCCUGAGCGCAAAAAGGGCAAGCCGAGUAACUAUCGAUGCCACACUUCUAGAGGAGAUCAGCCAUCCCGCAGCGCUGCCCAGCUUUGUGUUUCGUGGAAAAUGAAUAAUUCUAUAUAAAAUUUUCUUAAAAUACUUUUCUAAAACAAACUUUCAACUUUUUAAUAGUUGAUACUCUCAAAUAGCUAUGGUUAGCGAUGGUCAAGAUGAAUUAAUCAUUUUCUCCCAGAUUUUGGGCAAUGUGCAGUAGUGCGUGUUCAUCUGAUCAUCUCCUCUGAAUAGUCACUAGCUAGUAGCUAAUCAGUGCUCUGUUCGUACUGCUUGCUUUGCAUGGCGCACACUAAUAAACAGAUAGAGCAAUUCAAUAUUUUUUCAAUCCACUUUCAUCUGAAUUCCCCGGCAUUUCUGGUCCUUUUCUUCAUCCCUGGUGCCUGACAGUUUUUCUCUGAGACGAUGUUGCAGUUAAUUUUGAAGCAGCCGAGCUUUAAUUACUGGCAGAGAAAAUUGUCGAUGGUGAUUAAGUUCGAGCAGAUGAUUGUCUCGCAGAGAGAGGGGCCGGCAGGGAGGAGUAAAUUGUUCGGCGCCAUGUCGUCUGAUGAAUGAAGUGGUGGAGUACUGUCAAAUUGUCAAUGCACACCUGCAUAAUAUCGCCCGGUAUCCCAGCUGACAGUGUUUGUGUGCUUGCUUGGGGGGCAUAAAACUAAGGGGAGAUACCAAACCAUCAUGUGGUUCUUCCCCCUUUGGUCAAGAUCAAGAGGCCAUUGAGAAUUCGCAAUGGUUGCCUCGCAUGUGAGGUGCAUAUGGCGAUGUUCCCUCCUCCCUGCAUCGGUCUCGGUCUCCACACAGAAAUUUUAAUGGCGAGGUGAGGUGAGAGGGUGAGGUUGAUGCCUCCAGGCUCCAAGGUGCAGAGCAUGUGGGACAAGGACAAGAGCCACACGGACACUGUGCCAUGCUGAAUUUCCUGAAUGUAUCUGAAUUUUUCUGAAUCUCUCUGAAUUUCUUGAAUGUCUGAAUUUCUGAAUGUUGCAUUUGCCCUGGUUUGGCUGCAAGAACAAGCAGAGGCCGGGGCCUGGGCAUGUGUGGUUGUGCGUAUUAACGCCUGGAUAUGCUGCUGUGUUGUUGGUUUCAUGCAUUGAGAUUUGGAGAGGGCUGCAGCCAGGACAGGCCUGAUUACUCAUGCUGCUGCUUCAGAUCAGUCUUCUGGUUGUGGUUGGUUUGCUACUGGCAGUAACAUUUUGUUGAUGACCUAUUUUUGUGGGUCUUUGAGAAAACAUUUUGUUAAUAGCAUUUUUUAAGAAAACUUUUAAAAUUUGUUGUCGAUUUCGAGAAUGUAGCCAUUGUUAAUUUUGCUAUCAUGACUACUAGAAUUCAUCCAGGAAGAACUGAGAUAUUUAGUUGACGAACAGGUGGGAGUAGCAAGGUAGUAUCUUUAUUUUGUCCAAUGUCAUUAGAUAAUGCACAUGGCACUCGACCGGAGGCAAUGCUAUUUUGUUACUAUUGUUUCUAUCUUGUCAAUAAACAAUACUCACAUGACAUUCAUUAUUGUUGUUGACUUCUUUAGAAUAAAUGUGUCAACCAAUGGCCGAAAGACGAGAGAGAUUAUCACUUGGAUGGAUCAUGGAUGGACUAGCUUUGUGUUCACCAAAAGCAUUCAGUCCCAAAACAAUCGCACAGGAAUGGAACCGGAAUAAUCAAAUAUCAGAAGCAUU